CCCUUCUGUGGCUCACACCUGGAGAGUUCCCAGUACUCUACCAGUCUUGACUUCAGGAGGGAGAGUCAGGCAGAGGCCUAGCCAUUCCAUUCCUAGCUUGGGCAGUGGCUAGCGAGUGGAAGACAAUCUGCUUCAAGU
rnacentral:snoRNA from 1 species